GAUGAACGCUGGCGGCGUGCCUAAUACAUGCAAGUCGAGCGAACGGACGAGAAGCUUGCUUCUCUGAUGUUAGCGGCGGACGGGUGAGUAACACGUGGAUAACCUACCUAUAAGACUGGGAUAACUUCGGGAAACCGGAGCUAAUACCGGAUAAUAUUUUGAACCGCAUGGUUCAAAAGUGAAAGACGGUCUUGCUGUCACUUAUAGAUGGAUCCGCGCUGCAUUAGCUAGUUGGUAAGGUAACGGCUUACCAAGGCAACGAUGCAUAGCCGACCUGAGAGGGUGAUUGGACACACUGGAACUGAGACACGGUCCAGACGCCUACGGGAGGCAGCAGUAGGGAAUCUUCCGCAAUGGGCGAAAGCCUGACGGAGCAACGCCGCGUGAGUGAUGAAGGUCUUCGGAUCGUAAAACUCUGUUAUUAGGGAAGAACAUAUGUGUAAGUAACUGUGCACAUCUUGACGGUACCUAAUCAGAAAGCCACGGCUAACUACGUG
rnacentral:rRNA from 1 species